GUAUUGGUGGCUCAGUGGUGAAAUCCUCGCCUGCCACGCGGGCGACCCCGGAUCAAUUCCCGGCCAGUGCA